UACGUAGGUGACAAGCGUUGUCCGGAUUUACUGGGCGUAAAGAGCGCGCAGGCGGUCGAUCAAGUCGAGUGUGAAAGCCCCCGGCUCAACUGGGGAGGGUCAUUCGAUACUGAUCGACUCGAAGGCAGGAGAGGGUAGUGGAAUUCCCGGUGUAGUGGUGAAAUGCGUAGAUAUCGGGAGGAACACCGGUGGCGAAGGCGGCGACCUGGGUCGACACUGACGCUGAGGCGCGAAAGCGUGGGGAGCAAACACG
rnacentral:rRNA from 1 species